GCCUACGGGAGGCAGCAGUGGGGAAUAUUGCACAAUGGGGGAAACCCUGAUGCAGCAACGCCGCGUGAGUGAAGAAGUAUUUCGGUAUGUAAAGCUCUAUCAGCAGGGAAGAAGAUGACGGUACCUGAUUAAGAAGCCCCGGCUAACUACGUGCCAGCAGCCGCGGUAAUACGGAGGAUGCGAGCGUUAUCCGGAUUCAUUGGGUUUAAAGGGUGCGCAGGCGGGCCUUCAAGCCGGCGGUGAAAUCGCGGGGCUCAACCCCGCCGAGCCGU
rnacentral:rRNA from 1 species